GCCCCGCACCGCGCCCCUCGCCGCAACCAGCACCACGCACCGCACCGUGUGGCCGUGCCCUCUCCCUAGCCCGGCAUCACGUCAUCCCCACAACCCUACGGCGGCGCAGAGCCCGGAUGGACAAGGAGCAGCGGUGCGGGGUUCCUCCGGUGGCACCACGGGGCCUGGAGCUUGGAUCGAUGCGGGCCAUUGGCAGCGAGGCCAGAUCCGCCAUCGGUGACCUCAGUGGCCAAGGAUCCGUCAGCGUCAUCACGAAGGAAUAUAAAUUUGGCUCCGAGGAGGCUAGUGCUUUGAACAUAUGCUGAAAUGAAGUGCUAAUGCUGAAUGUCUAGGACCGAUUCUAGAGGAUGCUUCUGCAUGGUGUUUGUGAGAGAGAGUACUACUGCAGCCCUGAGUUUGUUGGAAUGGAGAGUGGGGACAAGACCACAACACCAAAAGUCUAAUUGGUCCACUCAAGAUCGAGAAAGCUAAAGAUCUGCUGUUGCUAGAGCUGAGCCAGUUGUAGAAUGAGGACACCAUUGAUCUUCUACAAGCCUGAGCUUGUAAGGCAAGGAUCUUAUUUCUUGCUCUUCAUUGCUCUUCAUUGAUGGAUUUUGAUUACAUUCUAGCAAGCUAGUAUAUUAGAUUUCUUCAUGGAUUUUUAGAUUUGUAGAAAGAGUGGAACUUGUGGAUUUGACAAACUUGUAGAACAUGUUAUGAUAGAACUUUUGAAGUGAUGAAACUUGAAUUUGAUGUU